GUACUUCCAUCUCCACAACCAAAAAUCCUCUUCCACAAAAACAGAAAUCAUAUCACCUUCUUCGUAAUCCCCUUCGUUUUUUCUUCAUUCAAAAUUCCAAACCUUAAAUUUCAUUUUUUAAAAAUGGCAGCCACUUCUCGAUUGGCCAGGUUUAUCAGCGAAGCUUGCCCUCCUCAAUUCGUCUCCGUCAUGAGGCGAAGAAGCCCCAAAGUUUUAGACACCAUUAACGAAGAAGACCAAAGAGAAUCCCUAGCUUCCUCUUCCUCCUUCAAGAUCGACAAAUUCUCUGUUUCUUCCCCGCCAUCUCCUGCUUCUUCCGCCGCCGCCGCCGCCGUUAAUUCCAAAUACUUUCUCGAUCAGGUCCCUGUUCCCCUGGGGCCUUUCUCCAUUUUCGAACAUUGAGAAAUGGAUUCUUAGUUUCGAUGACACUCAGAAUCCGUUUUUUCUUCUUUCUUUUUUUUACCCUUUUUUGCGCCGACCGGGUAGGAUUCAUUCUGGCCGGAAAUGGCGUUGUAGAUAUCAAGUCGACGGCGCAGUGGCUGCCGCCGGUUAAGAGAUGGGUUUUCCUUUUUUUUUUUUUUUGUUUUUUUUUUUAUGGGGUUAUUUAGUGAAUUUCCGAAUGCGUUUGUAAGGUGUGAGUUCGAUGUUUAUGAAAUGAAAAACUGCGCUGCUCUUCUAAUAAAUAACUUUUCAGCUAAUCUUCCAAAUAAUAAUUAAAUACAAAAUCUGAACUUUAUUUAUAUAUAUAAUAAACAAUGUUUACCAAUUUUUUACAAAUAUGGAUGAAUUUUAGAAGUUUUUUUUAAAGAAAAAAAAUUGAUUUUUCCUUUUCUAGAUUCUAUCCAUUCUCAAUUUAAAAUUGAUUGGGAUUUGAGAGAUUACUUUCCCUAUUAUUUUAUUUUGGUUCAUACAUUUUUUUUAGGGUUUUGAUACCUUUAAUAAAUAAAUUUAGUUAAUUAAUUUCUUAAAGAGUUAAUAAAAUUUUAACAAUACUAGUCAUAAUAAGUUUUUUUUUUUUUUUUUUAAUUUCAGUUAAAGUUUUACCUAUCAAAAUGAAACGUUUGCGACCCUAAAUAAGAUUUUGACCAAAAUAUUUUAAUAUUUUUUAAUGUGGGUAGCGAGAAUGAGACCAUAAAAGAUGGAUAUGCACAUGUGAUACAAAGUAUUAUCCAAAAACUUAAAUGGGUUUUAAGGAAUAUUUGAAAAUGAGUAUUAAAAUAAAAAGAAUCUCAAACCUUUAUAGUGAAAUGAAAUAAAAUAAAAUUUUAUACUUAGUAAUUUUAAUUAUCCAUAGAUUAAAUGUUGCUUGAAUCAUUCUCAGUUGCCUUCAGACACGUUCAUUUCCUUCUUUGUUAGUUGGUUUAUGCAUGCUCAAAUGAACACCAACCAUAAUAGAAGGAAACUAUGGCUAAUAGAGUAGAUAAUUAGCAAUGUUUGCAUGCAAAAGGAGUGAUUCUAACUAGGAAUGUGAAACUUUUGCAAAUUCCAUGUCUUACAUACCACUAGGGGAUUGGUUGUUCUUAAUUAGGCAAAUCUCACCCCUAAACAUAUAAGGGAAUAGGGAAGGCGACAACUUAUUGUUUCAAAAGUUUGUAUAAAGAAAACAUGUCCACCUAUUUCAUUCGACAUCUAAAGGAGGGGUUCGCCCUCAAUCAAUUUGAUAACAAGAAGAUGAGUUGAUUUGCUUUUAUCUAGGAAAAAAAAAACUUCAAUCAAUCACUAGCCUAGUUACAAGCUAUGUGGCCUACAAUUGGAUCUUUACUUUUUAAAUCUAAAAUAUAGAAGGAGCUUUAAGUUGAUUAUUACAGGGGCAUUUGGGGUUAGGGUUAGUACUAUGGGCUUAGAUUAGCCCAAUCCUAACCCCUGUUUGGGGUCAGUAUUAAGGAAACUAGGUUUCCUUUACACAGUUUCAUUCUCCCCUCAAACAAUUGAAACCCUCCCUUGCCUUAUCGUCUUCAACCUAUGUUCGUGCGAAAUCCUUUUCCUUUUCAUUCUGUGUUCUCCUUCAUCAAAUCCCCUCAAAUCUCCCUCUUUGGUUGUGUGUUCUCCCUCAACAAAUCGUUGAAUCGUUGUUUCGUUGUGUGUUCCCCCUCAAUCCGUCUUCAUGCAAAAACGGUUUCGUUGUCUGUUCCCCUCAUCAAAUCCAUUUCCAUGAAGUUCUCCGUCGUCAAACAUGUUUUUUUUCUCCUUAUUUCGUUCUCUGUUCUUCCUCAAUCCAUCUUCAUGCAAAUUGAUUUUUCGUUGCGUUUCACGGAUUGGGGAGGAUUUUAUGUAGCCGAAUCUCUAUUUACAUCUCUCUCAUCCGUCUUUCUCACUUUCGAAAGGCUGUGUCGUGUUUGUUGAAGUCGACCCUUCCACGGCGUUGGCUCCAAACACGAAAACCUUUUGGAAUAUGUAUGGUUUUGCCUCCAAACAUGUUUUGUUGAAGGAGAUCCUAAAAUAAAAUCCUUGUCACUCGAGGUUCCAUUGUUGCGGCUGGGUGUUUUGCUUGCCAUUUCGUCAUUCCAGAUCUGAUAAGAGAGAAACUUUCACUGUUGUCUGCCAAUGGUUGUCGAUCGAGCUUGGUAGGGAGGAAAGUUUACAUACUUUGUAAUGGAUCAACAAACACUUCUUGUCGUCUUAACUGCGUUCACGCUGGCCCAACGUAAGAUGUUACUAACGUUGGAGCUACUAAUGAACGAUAAUUGGCGUAUCACGCAUACACCGUCCGAUACACGCCAUAGAAUAAGGCAGCUUGCGUACUUUUGCACGAUACACGAGUCAGAUCUUGUGUGCCACCAAAGCACGCACAUGAACAGAUGAACAUUCGCAAUUUUAUGCCAUUUACUUCGGACUGUUUCUGGUCUUCCGUCGACCGAGAUUGUUGAUGUUGAGGAAAUAGUAGCAAUGUUCUUGUACGUCCUUGCCCAUGAUGUGAAGAAUCGCGUCAUUCAAAGGAAAUUUGUACAGUCUGGUGAGACAGUAUCUCGACAUUUUAACUUCGUAUUGUUGGCUGUUGUUUGACUAUACGAGGGGUUGAUAAAGAGACCUGUUCCGGUAACAAACAACUACAAUGAUCAACGUUGGAAGUGUUUCGAGAAUUGUCUUGGCGCAUUAGACGAAACGUACAUAAAGGUAAACAUCCUUGCAGCAGAUCGACUUACAUUCAAAACGUGUAAUGGGAAAUUGCCACAAACGUACUGAGCGUGUGCGACACGAAAGGGGAUUUUGUUUAUGUCCUCAUCGGUUGGAAAUGAUCCGCGGCAGACUCAUGGAUUCUACAAGAUGCACUUGCACGAGAAAAUCAACUAUAAGUGUCAGAGGGUAUUUCUUAUUUAUAAUAAAACAACACCGAUUUGUAUUUACAUAUUCAAAAUGCAUAAACGAAUGGUUUUAAUAACAUGAUAUUAUUAUCUGUGCGAUGCGAGUUAUCCAAACACGGAGGGAUUUCUCACCCUUUACAGAGGCCAACGGUACCACUUGCAAGAGUGGCGUGGUGUUGAAAAUGCGCCAACAAAUGCAAAGGAGUACUUUAACAUGAAGCACUCUUCGGCAAGAAAUGUCAUUGAGCACCCCUUCAGUGUUCUUAAGGGUUGUUGGGCCAUUCUUCGUGGAAAGUUGUACUAUCCCCUACAAGUCUAGUGUUGCACCACACUAGCAUGUUGCUUGCUUCACAAUUUGAUAAAUAGAGAAAUGACAUAUUACGACGACGUGGACGAAGGGGACUCCAUGUACGCGACCACCAUGGCCUAAGAAGACAUUCACUACAUUAAGACGACAAACGAGUGGUCUCGGUGGCGCGACGAAAUAGCUGAAUCGAUGUUCACAGACUGGCAGUUGCAUAACGCUUAGAUAAAAAAAUUUUACUUUACAAGUCAUCGGUUGUAUGCGAAUUUCUAUGACCUGUAAAAUUAUGUCAACCUCAAGUCGUGCCUCGAGACAUGUCCGGGCAAAGGAGGAGGAGGACACUCUUGUCGAGUGUUUAAUGGAGUUCGUGUAAAUGGGGGGAUGGAAAUCUGAUAACGGUUACCUAGCGCAGUUGGUACGGAUGAUGCCAGAGAAAUUACCUGGAUGUCGUGUCUGCGCAACGACUGUAAUUGACUGUAGAAUAAAGACACUGAAGCGGACAUUCCAGGCCAUCGCCGAAAUGCCGGGCCAAAGUGUAGUGGCUUUGGGUGGAACGAUGAAAAGAAAUGUAUCAUUGCGGAGAAAGAAUUAUUUGAUAAUUGGGUUAGGUUGCAUCCUGCAGCGAAGGGACUCCUGAACAAACCAUUUUCGUAUUACGACAAACUUUCAUAUGUGUUCACUCAUGAUAGGGCGACUGGUCACUUUGCGAAGACAUUCAUGGACGGGGUCUAACGAGCCUGGUGGGUGAGGGGUUUGACGUGCCGAAUGGGAAUGAGGAGUUCACACUCGUUUAUAGCCAAGGGAUUGACAUGUCGCAGGACGAUGUGAGCGCAUUACGAUCUUUUCGUACUUCAGAGGGUAGGGUCGGAUCAAGCGGAUCCAAAAGGAAGAGGGGAAGUCAGAGAGAGGUGGAUGUUGAUAAUGUUUAUUACGCGCUUGAACAAAACGAACAACCAACUAAGGAUGAUUGCGGAGUGGCCUACACGCGCCCUUACAACCAUGUGCGUACGAAAUUCUUUCGCAUAUUGCAUGAGAUGCCGGAAUUAACGAGUUUGGAUAGGACGUUGUUGUAAAGGCAUCUUCUAUCUCGUAUAGACAACCUGCGUGGUUUUGUACUCAUGCCUAAGGAUGAGAGGGAGGGCUUUUGGAGAGUUCUCCUACGUGACAUGAUGAGAUGGUUUAUGUUUGGUACCGACCUUUCUAUUGUUGUUUGCUUACUUCACAUUUUCAUUUUUAUGAUUGGUUUACUUUUGCUAUUGUAGACAACUAUUUUUUUUCCUUAUGUACUUCCGUUGUUUAUGCAUAUUUCUUUUU